AGAGUUUGAUCCUGGCUCAGAGUGAACGCUGGCGGCAGGCCUAACACAUGCAAGUCGAACGGAUCCUUCGGGAUUAGUGGCGGACGGGUGAGUAACACGUGGGAACGUGCCUUUUGGUUCGGAACAACUCAGGGAAACUUGAGCUAAUACCGGAUGUGCCCUUCGGGGGAAAGAUUUAUCGCCAUUAGAGCGGCCCGCGUAGGAUUAGCUAGUUGGUGGGGUAAUGGCCCACCAAGGCUCCGAUCCUUAGCUGGUCUGAGAGGAUGAUCAGCCACACUGGGACUGAGACACGGCCCAGACUCCUACGGGAGGCAGCAGUGGGGAAUCUUGCGCAAUGGGCGAAAGCCUGACGCAGCCAUGCCGCGUGAAUGAUGAAGGUCUUAGGAUUGUAAAAUUCUUUCACCGGGGACGAUAAUGACGGUACCCGGAGAAGAAGCCCCGGCUAACUUCGUGCCAGCCGCCGCGGUAAUAC
rnacentral:rRNA from 1 species